rnacentral:tRNA from 1 species
AAGGGAGACCUAAUUCAGGUAGGAGACGAAAAAAAAGUAGUCCCUACCAGGAAUCAAUCCCAAAAGGUCGGAGCGAGGCGAAAUUGGCUUUCAAACUAGGUUCUGGGUUCAAACAAGACCUGAAUCAGGAACAAGGGCUAUUAGCUCAGGUGGUUAGAGCGCACCCCUGAUAAGGGUGAGGUCCCUGGUUCGAGUCCAGGAUGGCCCACCUGCACAGGUGGCAAAAACAAGAGAAGCGAGGAAUCAGCACCUUAUCUUACUUAUAUAGUAAGAGAGAAUGCUGGCUCUGAGUAAAGAGUCCAGAGGAACCUUGAAAACUGCAUAGAGCUAGGUGAAAAAGCCAAAAAAGAAGACCGCAA